rnacentral:rRNA from 1 species
CAGUCGAGCGAGCGGAACCACAGAUUUACUUCGGUAAUGACGUUGGGAAAGCGAGCGGCGGAUGGGUGAGUAACACGUGGGGAACCUGCCCCUAAGUCUGGGAUACCAUUUGGAAACAGGUGCUAAUACCGGAUAAUAAAGCAGAUCGCAUGAUCAGCUUUUGAAAGGCGGCGUAAGCUGUCGCUAAGGGAUGGCCCCGCGGUGCAUUAGCUAGUUGGUAAGGUAACGGCUUACCAAGGCGACGAUGCAUAGCCGAGUUGAGAGACUGAUCGGCCACAUUGGGACUGAGACACGGCCCAAACUCCUACGGGAGGCAGCAGUAGGGAAUCUUCCACAAUGGACGCAAGUCUGAUGGAGCAACGCCGCGUGAGUGAAGAAGGUUUUCGGAUCGUAAAGCUCUGUUGUUGGUGAAGAAGGAUAGAGGUAGUAACUGGCCUUUAUUUGACGGUAAUCAACCAGAAAGUCACGGCUAACUACGUGCCAGCAGCCGCGGUAAUACGUAGGUGGCAAGCGUUGUCCGGAUUUAUUGGGCGUAAAGCGAGCGCAGGCGGAAAAAUAAGUCUAAUGUGAAAGCCCUCGGCUUAACCGAGGAACUGCAUCGGAAACUGUUUUUCUUGAGUGCAGAAGAGGAGAGUGGAACUCCAUGUGUAGCGGUGGAAUGCGUAGAUAUAUGGAAGAACACCAGUGGCGAAGGCGGCUCUCUGGUCUGCAACUGACGCUGAGGCUCGAAAGCAUGGGUAGCGAACAGGAUUAGAUACCCUGGUAGUCCAUGCCGUANACGAUGAGUGCUAAGUGUUGGGAGGUUUCCGCCUCUCAGUGCUGCAGCUAACGCAUUAAG